rnacentral:rRNA from 1 species
AUUGAACGCUAGCGGGAUGCUUUACACAUGCAAGUCGAACGAGUGGCGGACGGGUGAGUAAUAUAUCGGAACGUGCCCAGUAGAGGGGGAUAACUACGCGAAAGUGUGGCUAAUACCGCCUACUAUUGGCGCGACCGAUAUAGGAUUAGCUAGUGGGUGGGGUAAAGGCUCACCAAGGCAACGAUCCGUAGCUGGUUUGAGAGGACGACCAGCCACACUGGGACUGAGACACGGCCCAGACUCCUACGGGAGGCAGCAGUGGGGAAUUUUGGACAAUGGGGGAAACCCUGAUCCAGCCAUCCCGCGUGUGUGAGAAGGCCUUCGGGUUGUAAAGUACUUUUGGCAGGGAAGCGGUAUCUGCAGAAUAAGCACCGGCUAACUACGUGCCAGCAGCCGCGGUAAUUC